UGUGGAGAAACUUAGUUCGGGCACAUUUAGAAAAUUGUGUACAGUACUGGUUGCCACACCAGCAGAACGAUGUGGAAGUAUUGGAGAGUUUAGAUUAGAUU